UUUUACUCGCGUGAAGGAUAGUAGCGGCAUCCUUUUAUGAAGCGUAGCGGAAUAAAAGAUAGAGCGAAUAGCCUGACCCGCU
rnacentral:sRNA from 1 species